GUGAGGAAUAUUGGUCAAUGGACGAGAGUCUGAACCAGCCAAGUCGCGUGAAGGAAGACGGUUCUAUGAAUUGUAAACUUCUUUUGUGCAGGAAUAAAGUGGGUUACGUGUAACCUUUUGUAUGUACUGUACGAAUAAGGAUCGGCUAACUCCGUGCCAGCAGCCGCGGUAAUACGGAGGAUCCGAGCGUUAUCCGGAGUUAUUGGGUUUAAAGGGUGCGUAGGUGGAUUGAUAAGUCAGCGGUGAAAGUUUGCAGCUUAACUGUAAAAUUGCCGUUGAAACUGUCGGUCUUGAGUGCAAAUGAGGUAGGCGGAAUGUGUUGUGUAGCGGUGAAAUGCUUAGAUAUAACACAGAACUCCGAUUGCGAAGGCAGCUUACUGGGAUGCAACUGACACUGAUGCACGAAAGCGUGGGUAUCAAACAGGAUUAGAAACCCUAGUAGUCC
rnacentral:rRNA from 1 species